UAAAAUAUAACUUGAAUCCAAAACUCUUGUGGCCCUUAUGAAUUUUUUAACGGUGGAAAUUUAAUAAACAAUAUGUGGUCCACUUGAGAUAUGUGGAUCCAGUGUACCGUAUUCUUCUUGCGAAAAUAUCUCAAGCUUUUAAGUCCGACUGGAGUGGACUGCUUCACAAUCUGGGCUAUAGAUUUCACCAAAGUCGGUAGGCCACGUUUACGAUUCCUACACAAGAAAGCUUCGUCGACACGUGUCGCGACGCGACGCAUUGCCAACUCCUAUAUAUAACAUUUUCGGGGUCUUGGAAAGACGAAGAAUCUGAAAGCUGUGGAUGGAGGUUGAGCUGGAUAGGGUUUUUCUGUUCGCUUACGAGAGAGAGAGAGAGACAGUGAGGGAUGGAUGCUGAAGCUCAGAUCUUGAAAAGCUCUGUAGAGAUUGUCUCGCAACCGUCUCUAAUUCGCUUGGUGCAGGUCGGGAACGCUGCGCCUCUCCUUCUCCUCUCUCUCUCUCUCUCUCUCUCUCUCUCUCUCUCUCAUUGCAGGCGAAUCGUAUCCCGCCUUGCAUCAACUGAAUCGGAGAUGGCGGUGAAGCUUGCCCCUAUUCGAGCUUUGCAUGGAGGGAGUAAGGAUAAAGUCAGGAAGCGGAUUUGGCAUCUGUGCUUAGUAGCAGAGUUAUGGAGUACUUGGUUGGAGAGAAACAGUCUUCGUUUCAAAAAUCAAAGGGGUUGCAUCUCAGAAGUUUUUAACAGGGUGAAAUUGAAUGUAAUGGAAUGGGUGUAAGCUUCUAAUGUAUUAGUUAUUGAUCAGUUUUAUGUUGUUUAGGAUUGUUAGGGGUCUUUAUAUGUUAUUUAUUUAUUUAUUUUUUGGCCAUUUUCAAUAAAAUUAUAAUUAUUGCUUCAAAUAAUAAUAAUAAUAAUAAAUGUUGGACCAGGAGUGGUGCCUUGAGUUGAAUUUUUGAAGGCUUUUUUUUUUUUUUUUUUGGAAUUUUCGAAGGCAAUAUGUGGCUUUAGUGGGGUUUGAUGAUUCCAUUGCUUUGUUCCAAUAUAAAGCUUUCAUGAUAGAUCUGCAGGGAAAAGUGGCUGAGGCAUGUUUUGAUAUAAAGGUUACAUGAUUACUGAAGAAUUUUCGAGGCAGAAAUUGACUUCUGUAGAGGUUUCUUCCUAGCAUGUUUCAUGGAGAUGAAAUAUUAAUUUGGGUUGAGAAAACAGAAGCAAUUAGUGACACAACAUUGGUUCAGCUUUCAUUUUUAACACUGGCCUGAGCAAGCAGUUGGUUAGAAGCAGAGCGGUCUGUCUAACAAAAGAUUUGAUUGCAGGAUAUCUUUGGAUGCAGCACAAAAAUGUGUUCUUUAGCAAUUGUCUUCGACAUGCCUUUGGGUGUGUAAUCAAGCUAGUCACUGCAGCACUUUGAAGAGUCCAGUUGAAAAUUCAGUUCAUUUGUCUGUGGAAAUCCUGAAAAUUGAAACACACCAGGUAACUGCACCUGUGGAAACCAGUCAGCUCUAAUGUAUGAUGACCACACCCGCGGAAGCCAGGCUGUUCUAAUACAGUAUCAUUGCAGUAAGAUCACUUUAUGGCUCGGUUGGGAGCUUGUAUUUUGACUGCAUUUGAAUCCAAAUCACGGUUACAUCAGAGUUAA